GCAAAACCCCACCACCCGCGUGGCCCGCUGCAGCGGCGACGUCGCCGCCGAGCAAAACUGCAAGCAACCCGGAGGCGCGCGAGCCCCACGCCGCCCUCCCCUCCUCGUCGAUUCUCGGCGUAUCUAUCCCCCAACAUCGCAAUUACACAGGAGAGGCAUCCAACCAACCAAUACCCCGCCCGGGAGCGAUUUCGCCUCGCGCCGCAUGGACCGCAUCGUCGGCGGCAAGUUUCGGCUCGGACGGAAGAUCGGCUGCGGCUCCUUCGGCGAGAUCUACCUCGCCACGCACAUCGACACCUACGAGAUCGUCGCCGUCAAGAUUGAGAGCAGCAAGACGAAGCACCCCCAGUUGUUUUACGAGGCAAAGCUCUACAACACUCUCCAAGGAGGGAGUGGCAUUGCAAAUGUCAAGUGGUGUGGUGUAGACGGGGAAGAAAAUGUUCUCGUCAUUGACCUGCUGGGACCAAGUUUGGAGGACCUCUUUGUCUAUUGCGGCAGGAAAUUCACACUCAAGACUGUCUUAAUGCUGGCUGAUCAGAUGAUUACAAGAAUUGAGUUUAUGCAUUCCAAAGGGUACUUACACAGAGACAUAAAACCUGACAACUUUCUGAUGGGUCUUGGUCGGAAAGCAAAUCAGGUAUACAUAAUUGAUUUUGGGCUUGCGAAAAGAUACCGGGAUUCUACAACGAACCGUCAUAUUCCUUACAGAGAAAAUAAGAACUUGACUGGCACAGCACGCUAUGCAAGUUGUAACACCCACCUUGGAAUUGAACAAAGCCGCAGGGAUGAUUUGGAAUCUCUAGGCUAUGUCCUUUUGUAUUUUCUCCGAGGAAGCCUUCCUUGGCAGGGACUAAAAGCUGCAACAAAGACACAGAAGUAUGACAAGAUAUGUGAGAAAAAGAUAUCAACUCCUAUCGAGGUCUUGUGCAAAUCCUGUCCGGUCGAAUUCGCAUCUUACUUCCAUUACUGCCAUUCAUUGACAUUUGAUCAGCGACCAGACUAUGCAUUUGUGAAGCGACUUUUUCGUGACUUGUUUACCCGCCAAGGUUACGAAUUUGAUUAUGUCUUUGACUGGACAGUUUUAAAAUACAAACAAGGCCAAAAACAAAAGCGAAGUCCUGGGGUACCAGCUCGACCAAUUCAAGAAGAUGUACAGAAACAAGCAGCUUUGUGGUUAACAGGUGUAAAUGGUGUUUUUCAUAGUGAAGCCCGGGAGCAUGUAGAGACAAGCCAUCCAACAUGGCAAGCUGCAGAGUCUCAAGGCAAGCAGGCAACCGAUAAAGAUCAAAAUUCCAGCAUGCAGCAUACUGUGAACCUUAGACAAGAUGUGGAUGAUGGAAAAGCACAGCUGACAUCUGUCGCACUUCCUAGUUCCCUGUGGAAAAAUGAUGGUGAUUCAAGACAAAAAGGACAAUUUGAUGCCGUUCACCACAAUCAGGGUUUUGUAAACAUAACUGGCUCAUCUAACAGCUGGCUUCCUACAUUCAAGCACAAUGCCCCCGCAAAGUGACAGUUAAACCUAUCAUGUCUGGUGGAGCAAUGAGGAAAUGCAAAGAGUUAGAGGAGACCCCUGUUCCUUCAAGGUGGUUCAGAGUCAAGUAUCACACAGUCAAUGUAGACUUGAUGUUUAAUUCGUGUUAGUGAGGUGGAGGAAGAAGAUGAGAGGAAGAAGAAGGACUCAGGAAGAGCACACGAAAUGGAGCUGCUUCAAUCUUGUGAGCUGCAUCUGCUCUCCUUUUUUAUAGACACUCUUGGUCAAGUCAUCUGCCGCCCAAGUCAAAGGACCAGGCAUGGCAAAGCACAGUAGCAGGAGCUCCCACUACUGCUCAAACAUGAUGACAAGCAUGAGCAUGGGUAAUUAUCUAUAAGAUAGUAUGCCAUUCUUAAGUUGAAUCUGUCUACAUUGGGGCCUCCGCAUCUUUAGCAGAAUGAUGCUUUCACGCCAUGGGAACCAGCUAUAUAUCUUCUGAUGUCAUCAGUUCGACGUGGAAUCAUUCAAGUGGCCAAUUUUUUUAAAAAAGAAAGGUAUGAAAGGAGGGGUAGUAAGUCGAGUCAUGGAAGGUGCUACAGUUCUUACCAGUCUUGCUCUGGCAAUGUUUCUGACACUACCCUUCUAGUGAAGGCUUUGGAUAACUUGACUUUUGUUAAAGCGUCUAGUUUGAUGGAAUAUAUUUUUAUCAGAACCAAUAACUAAUGUUUGAUCAUUGGAGGGACUUCCAGUCAGUUUGUUUGUCCUCUUUCACGUAAACAUCUCCUGUAGUAAAUAAGCUAAUUUUUUUUUACAUUCAUCAAAAUGUGGGGCCAAAUAUUUGCCACUAUCAUAACAGAACCUUCUACCAUUCUUUCUGUUAUAUUGCUAUUAUCUUUUAUCAUUUCAAAGCUUUGGUGAUCCUUUCCUACUCCAUGGUCCAACAAACUCCACAUUUUUUUUCCCGACGAACCAACGGGGGGCAAGGCGUCCACCUGAACUUGAAUUCAAUCGGAAGCUGCCGAAACAGCCAAGGUUUACAAGUGGUCACUUGUAUUUUGGAGCAAGCGCCGGGCUCCAGGGGAGAGAAACAGUAGGGGGGGGAGGGGUUUGCUACUAAAGUUUAUGUUACAUCAUUAAGAGAAUUGCACCAGAGCAAAAUCCGAGUCGAGUCGACACAGCGGGGAGCACGAAAGAUCCAGAGCCGGAGGUGUGCACGCAUCGACGCGAUAAUGCCGUCCACGUCGAGGGAGAUGUUGUCGAAGAUCAUACGGUUCCUGGCUUUCCAGAUGCACCAGAGGACGAGAAGAAGCGUGGUGUUGGUGGAGGGUUCAUCCAAACCUGCAGUAGAGGCGAGAGAGGAGUGGAUGGAGGGCAGGUCGGUUGGAACGAGGGGGUGAGGGAAGAUCCGGUCCCAGAGACCGCGGAGGCAGGGGCACGUCACAAAGAGGUGCACAGCAUCUUCAACCCAGGGGCAGAACGGGCAGAUGUCAGUGUCGAGGCAACCAUGGCGGUGCAGGCGUUCCUGCGUUCUGGUCCUCCCAAGGUGCAGUAGCCAGAAGGCAAACUGAACUUUGGACGGCGCGAAGUUGUUCCAGUUGGCGUCGGCGAGAGGCGGGGGCAGAGCCGCAGGCGCGGCACGGAUCACCUCAUAGACGAGACUGACGUGGAAGGACGACGAAGGCGAGGUCGUGACGAAGCGGUGGUCAUGCCCGGGGGAGAGGGGUACCGUGGCAAGCGCGGCAUCCAGGAGGGCGAGCUCGUGGCUGGCCACAGAGGAGAGUCGCGGAGGCCAGGCAAGGCCGCAAGCGCCAAGGGCCACCGCAGUUUUGACGCUGAUAGUUGUAUCCAAGCAGUGAGAGAAGAGCGCCGGGCGGGAGUCCUUGAGCACGCCGGCGGAUGACCAAGAGUCAAACCAGAAGGAGGUGGACUCACCAUCGGAGAGGAUGACGGGCGUCAUGCUCCUGUAGAGGGGGAGGAGUGACUUCAUGGUGCGCCAGCAUGGAGAGUCACCCGAGGCACGUCCGUCCCAAUACCAGUAGCGGAUCCAAGCGGCCCAAGGGUUGGGGUCGCCGGAGUAGAGCUUGUGUAGGUUCUUGAGGAGGAGGCUCUUGUUUUGUGUAGCGAGGUCCUUGACGCCGAGGCCGCCAUCUUCCUUGGGGAGGCAGACUGUCUCCCAGGCAACCAGGCAGUCACCGCCGGUGGCUUUGGUGGCGCCUUUCCAUGUCACCACAUUUGCAUCCUAACAAGGUCCAGUCGGUUUGUAUGUGCACUCUUGCUUCAGUUGCACACUGCCUGAUAGGUUCAUCUGUUGACUUGAUCAUGUAAAUUAAGAUGUAACCUGGUUGAAAGCUGGGAGAGGCCACGAGGUAUGUAAUCUCCCAAAAUUUUGAACUCUGCUGCUCUCUUACUGGAUGGGCAGUUCUCCUGCGGUAUUAUCCAUUACAGUUUUAUCCCCCAAACCUUUGCUGAUUUUUUUGGUGCAAGGUUAUCAUUUGAAAUUUGUAAGGUUGGUGCUACCGGGCGCCAGAGAUCACUGCAUCAGUAAGGUUGCUUUGGUUGGGCACUGGGAGUUGGUGCCCCCAAAAUUUAGGGACUUGUCGAGCGAACGAACAGCUGCUUCCACUACCGGGAAAGCGUCUUAUCACAUUGUAGCAGCACUUUGUUUCGCUGCACGAACGGCGAUGAUGAGGUGUUUGCUUUCUCAAGCAUCUAGUGUUUCUUUUGGCAUGCAGGAGGGGGGGUGGAGGAAGCAAAGCAAAACAAAGCUUGCCAAUUGGUUGGGGUUAUAUUUUCUAGGGGAAUCCAACAAAAAAAAACUAUUAGGGAACAAGUUUUUGCCUUAUGCCGCUUCAUCUUGAUGUCACUAAGCACUAAUAAGGACAAGCUCGAUAUAUAUGUACAUCAUGAUGCUGGUCACUAAGAAAUACAGGAAAGAAGGGAUGCAAAAGAUCAAAGAUGAAUAAACCUUCUCGCAUAAUGUGUGGGAUCAUCAGCAAACAUUAUCACAUAGAAAUUAAGCAGGUGGGUGGUGGACUAGCACCGGCAGAGUACUCAAUUUACUUCUGUUCGAGGAACUUUAGCUUGGUGCUUGGAAUUGAGAUUGUACCAGAAUUAUGAAAAAAGAAAACAAUGUGCUCCUUGGUGCUUA